rnacentral:rRNA from 1 species
CGUUCCCGGGCCUUGUACACACCGCCCGUCACACCACGAAAGUUGGCAAUACCCGAAGCCGGUGGGCUAACCCUUUUGGGAGGCAGCCGUCGAAGGUGGGGUCGAUGAUUGGGGUGA